rnacentral:lncRNA from 1 species
CGUAUUUAUUGAAUGUCUAAGUGUCAUAAAGGGGCACUAGACCUAGAGAACAUUGGAACUUCACUUGUGACUUAGAACUAGAUCUUCGAGAUGCUAGUGACUAUACCAUGUUAGAGACAUGAUGAUUGGGUACUUGAGACGUUGACUACGCUUGCUUGCCAUUUGUGCUCAUUCGCACAUGCUUGUGAGGGUCGCUCCCUACAAGCCGGCACUCCGGAGUUAGCCUAUGCGACCUAUGUUCGCUCGUGCGGUAUUGAGAAGCCUACGGGGUCGAGUGGGACAGACACAUUCCAAGAGUAGGAAUGUUGGGCUACCACAGGCACUUAGGCGGCACAAGCUGGACUACCUUUGGUAGGUCCUUAAUUGGAAAUGAAAAUCGACACAGUGUUGAGAAUGAAUAAUCACUAUUAGAUAGGCUUAGUAGUUGGAUUACUUGACAUGCUCAUGACAUAGCAUUGGGAUAUAUAGUAUACUUGCCUGUUUCAUUCAUUGCAUCAUAGUAUACUGGGUUGCUUUGAUAGAGCUUACUCCUUAUGCAUUGACAUAUUGCAUCGUGAGGUUUACUUGUUCAUUAUGUU